rnacentral:rRNA from 1 species
UACGAAGGGGGCUAGCGUUGUUCGGAAUUACUGGGCGUAAAGCGCACGUAGGCGGCUUUCUAAGUCGGGGGUGAAAUCCUGGAGCUCAACUCCAGAACUGCCUUCGAUACUGGAGAGCUUGAGUCCGGGAGAGGUGAGUGGAACUGCGAGUGUAGAGGUGAAAUUCGUAGAUAUUCGCAAGAACACCAGUGGCGAAGGCGGCUUACUGGUCCGGUACUGACGCUGAGGUGCGAAAGCGUGGGGAGCAAACAGG